GGAUUAGAUACCCUGGUAGUCCACGCCGUAAACGAUGUAUGCUAGUUGUUGGGGUCUUAAGGCCUCAGUGACGCAGAGAAAUCAUUAAGCAUACCGCCUGGGGAGUACGGCCGCAAGGUUAAAACUCAAAGGAAUUGACGGGGACCCGCACAAGCGGUGGAGCAUGUUGUUUAAUUCGAAGCAACGCGAAGAACCUUACCUACACUUGACAUCCAGAGAACUUUCCAGAGAUGGAUUGGUGCCUUCGGGAGCUCUGAGACAGGUGCUGCAUGGCUGUCGUCAGCUCGUGUUG
rnacentral:rRNA from 1 species